rnacentral:rRNA from 1 species
GACGAACGCUGGCGGCGUGCUUAACACAUGCAAGUCGAACGGAGUGGCGAACGGGUGAGUAACACGUGGGUGACCUGCCCUGCACUUCGGGCUAAGCCUGGGAAACUGGGUCUAAUACCGGAUAGUGUGGGAUGGGUGCGCGGGCUAUCGGCUUGUUGGUGGGGUAAUGGCCGACCAAGGCGGCGACGGGUAGCCGGCCUGAGCGGGUGGACGGCGACAUUGGGACUGAGAGAGGGCCCAGACGGCUACGGGAGGCAGCGGUGGGGAAUAUUGCCGAAUGGGCGGGAGUCAGAUGCAGCGGCGCCGCGUGGGGAAAGACGGCCUUCGGGUUGUAAACUCCGUUCACCAUCGACGCGGUAGAUGGAGAAGAAGCACCGGCUAACUACGUGCCAGCAGCCGCGGUAAUUC